CCCUCCCCUAACCCAAGCAGCAGCCACAACCCCCUCAUCUUAAACACACAUACACGGCUCACUGAAAGAAAGGAAAAGAAAGAAUGGGAACGAGAGAAAACAAGGGAAGAGAGGUCGAGAAAGAACGAGAUGCAGAGGGAGAAGGUUGGUGCGCCGUUGGAGCCACUUCCAUCGAGCCCUAGCCGUCACCACCGCCUCUGCACGCAAGGAAGGAGGAGCCUUUGCCAUCGUUGUUCCGUCUCAAACCGAAGCCGCCAUCGCGCCUGGGUGCCACUAUCGCGGACUCGCGUUGGCUGCGUCAUCGUGCCACCAUCACGCCAUGGAUCUGCUCUGUUCGUGAGCUGAGCCAAGGAAGGAGAGACGAACGCGACGGAGAUGAGUGGGAAACCCGCACCGACACUGUUGGAGUCUCACCGCCGCCGUCCCCGUGGUGGCUGGUGUCAUCAUCGGAGAGGACCACCGGAGUUGCUGUCUGCCUCUGCUGGGGUUCGUCUCCACCGGAGCUUCCCUGGUCGACAGAUGCGGCCGCCGCCUCCUAGCUGCCGCUGUUGGAGUUGAUGUUGCUCUAGCCUUGCCCUGACUCCAUCUUGAACCGAGAACCGCUACUGUUGGUGAGUUGCAUUGCCACUGCCCUUGCCAAAGGUAGUUGCUGGCUGCAUUUGAAAAUUUUUGUUGCAACUUGCGUUUGUUCUAGAGCUAUUUCAUCGGUUGCUAGAACUACUAACGGAGCUGGCUGAGUCACGGCGAUUCUGGCUGCCAAGGGCGGUUCUGUGGCUGUCGGAACCACCGCUGAGUAUUCUGUUCUUUGGUUCAGACGGAUUAAGUUAUCGGAGCCACAGGUUGCGCGUAAGGGCUUAUAUUUGCUGCUGCGAAAGUGAACAAAGCUGUGAUGCAAGCUGCCGGUAACUUUGGGUUGAUAGAGGUUUCUGGUGGCGCGUUUGGGUUAUGGUUUGCGUUUUAAGGAUAUGGACGCAGAAGUUACGAAGAGUUUAUUUAAUUGUUGUUGAGAUGUUCUGUAUUGCUUUAGAUUAUUAUUCAUUGUACCCUCGCCUUUAUCUUGAGAUAUUCUGUAAGAGGGAUAGGGAUUGUAUUGGAUACUUCUUGUGAUAUUAUCUAUAAAUAUAUGUAUCUAUAUGGAUGUAUCCUUU